UACGGGAGGCAGCAGGGGGAAUAUUGCACAAUGGGCGCAAGCCUGAUGCAGCCAUGCCGCGUGUAUGAAAAAGGCCUUCGGGUUGUAAAGUACUUUCAGUCGUGAGGAAGGUGUUAAGGUUAAUAACCUUAGCAAUUGACGUUAGCGACAGAAGAAGCACCGGCUAACUCCGUGCCAGCAGCCGCGGUAAUACGGAGGGUGCGAGCGUUAAUCGGAAUUACUGGGCGUAAAGGGCACGCAGGCGGUUAAUUAAGUUGGAUGUGAAAUCCCCGGGCUUAACCUGGGAAUGGCAUUCAAGACUGGUUAGCUAGAGUCUUGUAGAGGGGGUAGAAUUCCAUGUGUAGCGGUGAAAUGCGUAGAGAUGUGGAGGAUACCGGUGGCGAAGGCGGCCCCUGGACAAAGACUGACGCUCAUGUGCGAAAGCGUGGGGAGCAAACAGGGAUUAGAUACCCGU
rnacentral:rRNA from 1 species